CCUACGGGUGGCAGCAGUGGGGAAUAUUGGACAAUGGGGGCAACCCUGAUCCAGCCAUGCCGCGUGUGUGAAGAAGGCCCUCGGGUUGUAAAGCACUUUCAGUGAGGAAGAACGCCUGGUGGUUAAUACCCAUCAGGAAAGACAUCACUCACAGAAGAAGCACCGGCUAACUCCGUGCCAGCAGCCGCGGUAAUACGGAGGGUGCGAGCGUUAAUCGGAAUUACUGGGCGUAAAGCGCGCGUAGGUGGCUUGAUAAGCCGGUUGUGACAGCCCCGGGCUCAACCUGGGAACGGCAUCCGGAACUGUCAAGCUAGAGUGCAGGAGAGGAAGGUAGAAUUCCCGGUGUAGCGGUGAAAUGCGUAGAGAUCGGGAGGAAUACCAGUGGCGAAGGCGGCCCUCUGGACUGACACUGACACUGAGGUGCGAAAGCGUGGGUAGCAAACAGGAUUAGAUACCCGUGUAGUC
rnacentral:rRNA from 1 species